rnacentral:lncRNA from 1 species
GUGUUGAUCCUUUUAAACCUACCGGUGUAAGGCAUCUUCUUCUCCUUCUUUUUUUAAUUUAUUGUGUGUGCGUGUAUGAGAGAGAGAGAGAGAGAGAUUGUGGAUGUGCCAUGACUUUAUUAUUUCAAUUUUGUGUUAUUUCCAUGAAAUCUAGUUUCUACAAUUAUGUCAUCUUGAGUGUAGAUCCUUCAUUACAAAAAAAAUGACAUAUUAACGAUGGUA